CGUGUAGGCGGUGCGGUAAGUUGGGCGUGAAAUCCCCGAGCUUAACUCGGGUGGGCCGUUCAAGACUGCCGUGCUAGGGUGCGGGAGAGGGAAGUGGAAUUUCCGGUGUAGCGGUGAAAUGCGUAGAUAUCGGGAGGAACACCUGCGGCGAAGGCGGCUUCCUGGACCGUAACCGACGCUGAGGCGCGAAAGCUAGGGGAGCAAACAGGAUUAGAUACCCUGGUAGUCCUAGCCCUAAACGAUGAGCACUGGGUGUGGCCCCUCACGAGGCCGUGCCGAAGCUAACGCAUUAAGUGCUCCGCCUGGGGAGUACGGUCGCAAGGCUGAAA
rnacentral:rRNA from 1 species